GCGAGGGUGGCGGAAUUGGCAGACGCGCCAGGUUUAGGUCCUGGUCCCGAAAGGGGUAUGGGUUCGAGUCCCGUCCCUCGCA
rnacentral:tRNA from 1 species